rnacentral:lncRNA from 10 species
GGCGGCGCUGCCGCUCCUAGCGCUGGGCGAGACCACCGCGAGCGGGGGAGGAUGCGGGAUGAGGGAUGCGGGUGAGACAGCCAAUGAGGGCGCGGGAAGACGGGCUGGUGCCAUGGCAACAGCCAAUGGCGGCCCGGGGCGGGGACCGGCGUCGGCCGCGGGGCGUCGGGCCUCCGCGCGGGCUCAGGGGCCGUGAGUGCGGGGGGCGAAACCCCCCCGAGGGAAGGGGGUGCCCCGAGGACCAAGAUUCCUGUGUCCCGCACUUUAUUGCAGGGUGCAACGGCCUCUUAAAACCUCCUGCGUCUGGAUUUGCAGAAUUGGAGAGUAAAACAUCAAAUCCUGGAUGUUACAUCAGCAUCUUGGCGGGGGAGGGGUUUCCAGGGCAGUGGCCGGGCUGGGGCCAGGCCUGCACCCACCCCACAGGUCCAGCCUGGCCUGGUGCAGGUGCGUCAGGGUGGGACAGGGUUCGGGUCCAGGCUGGAGCUCCCUGAGGGUCCUGCCUGGUGGGGAGGGGAGAGGGGAGGAGGGGCAGGGCCACUGGGGAGCACCUGGGACGCUGCAUCUCCCCACAUUUCUCCCUGUCUCCCCAACGGAGCGUCAGAUCCUCCUGUAACUCCGUUGCUCUUCAUGUCCCUCUCUCUUUCUGUCUCCCCCUCUGUUCUCUGUCUCUCAAUCUCUGUCUCCAUGUGUCUCUGCCCCUGGUGGGUGGCACACUUAAUUCACCCUCACGGACCGAAGGCCAGAGGAGGGAAGGGCCAGGGGUCCCAGGAGUCGCCAUCUCCAGGUGUCCUGGAUGCUCCAUGAGUCCCUGGAAGCCAUUUGAAGGUUUAACACACAGAGCCCGUCCCUGCAGCUCGGAGCAGCCCUUCCUGCUCUGGACACAGACUCACAGCACAGAAAGGGAGGCGACUGGGGCCAGAAGAGUGAUUUUUUUCCGUGCUGGGCAGGCAGGGCAAAUCAUUCGCCGCUCAACCCUCGGUUUCCUCCUCUGUAAAAUGGAGAGGAGGCGGAAGAUUCUGCAAGGGCUGGUGCAGGGAAUGAUAGGAGAGGGUGGGAAGGUCCGAGUAUUCAAGGCCCCGUAGACAAAGGCAAGGGAGGACCCGUGCUGUUUCCUGUUGGGCCUUGAGCUGAAGACCCGAGGGCCUUGUCCCGGGCCAGCACUGCCAGGGGCUGAGAGCCCUUCGGCCUGGCUGUCUGGGAGCCCCCAGAGCUGGACGCAGCUGUCCCCACUGGUUGGGUCUGGGGAGGCAAUGCAGUGGGCAG